rnacentral:rRNA from 1 species
CGUAGGAUCCGAGCGUUAUCCGGAGUGACUGGGCGUAAAGAGUUGCGUAGGUGGUUAGUAAAGUGAAUAGUGAAACCUGGUGGCUCAACCAUACAGACUAUUAUUCAAACUCACUAACUCGAGAAUAGCAGAGGUAACUGGAAUUUCUAGUGUAGGAGUGAAAUCCGUAGAUAUUAGAAGGAACACCAAUGGCGUAGGCAGGUUACUGGGCUAUUUCUGACACUGAGGCACGAAAGCGUGGGGAGCGAACCGGAUUAGAUACCCGGGUAGUCCACGCCGUAAACGAUGGAUACUAGCUGUUGGAGGUAUCGACCCCUUCAGUAGCGAAGCUAACGCGUUAAGUAUCCCGCCUGUGGAGUACGGUCGCAAGACUA